rnacentral:rRNA from 1 species
GACGAACGCUGGCGGCGUGCUUAACACAUGCAAGUCGAACGAAGAGCGACGGAAGCUUGCUUCUAUCAAUCUUAGUGGCGGACGGGUGAGUAACGCGUAAUCAACCUGCCCUUCAGAGGGCGACAACAGUUGGAAACGACUGCUAAUACCGCAUACGAUCUAAUCUCGGCAUCGAGGAUGGAUGAAAGGUGGCCUCUACAUGUAAGCUAUCACUGAAGGAGGGGAUUGCGUCUGAUUAGCUAGUUGGAGGGGUAACGGCCCACCAAGGCGAUGAUCAGUAGCCGGUCUGAGAGGAUGAACGGCCACAUUGGGACUGAGACACGGCCCAGACUCCUACGGGAGGCAGCAGUGGGGAAUCUUCCGCAAUAGACGAAAGUCUGACGGAGCAACGCCGCGUGAGUGAUGACGGCCUUCGGGUUGUAAAGCUCUGUUAAUCGGGACGAAAGGCCUUCUUGCGAAUAGUGAGAAGGAUUGACGGUACCGGAAUAGAAAGCCACGGCUAACUACGUG